rnacentral:rRNA from 1 species
UCCGUAGGUGGAUAAUUAAGUCAGAGGUGAAAUCCUGCAGCUCAACUGUAGAAUUGCCUUUGAUACUGGUUAUCUUGAGUCAUUACGAAGUAGUUAGAAUAUGUAGUGUAGCGGUGAAAUGCAUAGAUAUUACAUAGAAUACCAAUUGCGAAGGCAGAUCACUAAUAAUAUAUUGACGCUGAUGGACGAAAGCGUGGGGAGCGAACAGGAUUAGAUACCCUGGUAGUCC